GGAGUCUUUAUAUAAUAAAUAACCCCCAUCGACUGAUGAAUCAGUGUCUUAAACUCACUGAGAUCUUCACUGUGGAUCUUUAUUUCUAUUCAGAUUCUGGAUAUUUCUACAUCUCCAUUCAUCACAGUCUCUGGUGAUCCAGACGGAGCAGUGAAGAGUCGUUCUGAUCAAUCAGAGAAAACAUCAUACUUCACUUUCAGUUAGAAUCAGGAGAAAUACAUAUUCAGUGUAGAAAUGAAAUAAUGCACAGAGAAAACAGCUGGAGCGUCAGAAACUACAGACGAGUAAAAACCAACAGGACAGAGAGAGAAAUGAAGGACAGAAAUAAAACACAAACCGCUGGAUCUCAAGAGAAAAGCAGACAGAGACUUGUUAGAUGGGACAGUAUGAAGAU